AUUUUAUACUGUCCUAGAUAGGCUUCUUGUUUCUGUUUGUUAGAUUGUAUUUGUUGCCAUUCAAUACUUUAAGCUUAGUUUUUGCAAGAAAAGUAUUGUCUUUUCAAUAUAAAAAUAAUUUUCUUUUUUCAAAGAAAGACCCUUCUCACUCUACCUUUCCUCAAGGGAAGAAUCAGUGUAUCUCAUACAUUCUUUAAAGUCCAACUGAAAAACUUUAGUAGUAUAAUUUGCAUUUCAGCUAAGCUCAGAAGCUGAGCUCAUAGCUAACACUGGAACAUGUCCUGCUCAGGAAGGACCUGCAGCUCCUUCCAGGGCCAGACUGUGUGUGCACACAAUGUUUGGAACAGGGCAUGAUACAGAGGUCCCUUGGCAGCUUUCAGAACCUGGCAGAGCUCUAAAAGUGUGUUGUGGGUUUUUUGGGGUUUUGGGUGGGUUUUUUUGUUUGUUUGUUUGUGGUUUUUGUUUUUGUUUGGUUUUUUGGUGUUUUUUUCAUCUUUGGCCAGGUAAACACAAGAUCUGUUUAGCAGCAAAACUCCCCUGCUGCCUAUCUAAACAAGAAAAUCUUGCUAGUGAAGACAUACUUACAUCAGCAAGCCUGUGCUUCUGGUUUGCAAUAGUGCAGCCACGAUUUUUUUGGCACUUGUCAGACUGAUUCAAUAGCAAAAUCAAAGCAACAAAACUUUGACCUGGCUUCACAAACAUCCUGAAAUACAGUCAACUAAUUUUUAUUUAAAGAUGUGAUUACAGAGCUCAGGGUGGGUCUAUCAGCUGUUUUUGGAAAGGUUCCACAUGAAUGAGGACUCACUGGUCCAUCAUAGAUAGUGAAUCUCAACACAGCAGUGGCUAGACACCAGCCCACCAGAACUUCACUCUACAGCAGCACCAAGUUAAGCUGAAACUGAAACAAGAAGAUAAAAUAAAGAUAUUCACUUUUUACUCAAUUACAUACUCAAUUACAUAAAGGAAUGAGUAUGGAAUCUGAGAAAUCCCUUUGUCAGGUGGAUAUGGCAUUUGGCUCAGACAAGCUCUUAAUGUUAAGCACACACGAAAUGGUAAAAUAUUCAACAGGCAUUCUUUACAAUAAAGAAAUGAGUUACAGAU